UGAUAAUGCCAAUGUUGAUGUUGCUGCCCUACCUUGCACAUACCAAGAACACUCACAGAUUCCCAUGAGAUGAUGCAUUUUGUAGCAUUUCUUACAACGCCUAUUCAGGAGAUCAGUUUGUCUACCAGACAGAAAAGCUGCAAAAUUCUGAAACCUUCUCUGCAAACACGUGUGAGAAUUUUUCAUUGCUACUGAAAUUUCUAGUGUCCAGUUUCUGUAGGCAAUAGGCUUAAGCCACUGCAGAGGUUAAGAAUUAUUGAAAGUCCAAAGUAAAAUUAAUUUUGAUAGUGUGCUAUUUCCUAAAGAAUCACAUUUAUGUCAGGUGAAAAACGUAAUGAAACUGGGAAAGCUGUGUCUGAUAGCUGAAAUAAAACAUUAAUUAAACAAGUUACUUUUACAACCUCAGUCUCCAGGACACUCAACAGAGGUAUAUGAGAGAUGGAAUUAAGCUGUUUAAGUGAUAUUAAAGAUUAGGCAAGGCUUGUGGCAAAUGCAGCAAAACAGUGUUUGACUAUAGCCUCUUUUCCAUGUACUUGAAUAUGAAGCAUCCCAAAGAGAAGCAGUGUGUCUAGUAUAUAUAUAGUUUGAAGCAUCUUUUGUCUUAAGUGAGGUUGGACUAAGUCAGGAACUUCCCUUAGCAAAGCAGGACAUCUUUGGGUAGCAAUCACAUCUGUGAUAGUUUUCCACAGCCCUUAAACCAGGAUUGCAAAGUAGAUGGGAGAAUGGCUUAGCUGAGCAGUCUGUGAACUGAUGUCAGUGAGACUUUUGCCAUUGAUCUCAACGAUGCCAAGAUCUGUCUCUUCUUAAUUUGUUUUCUAAGUUUCAUCUACAGUUUUCACUGGCCUGGCUGCAGUUCAGGGAAGUUGUUGAACCAGUGGAUAGUUUCUUAUAGUUUUACCUUCUUGAGUCAUGUCAGUUAGGCCACUCUUAAUGAAAACCUAUUGCAAUCGCUGUAGCACACAGCAAUACUUGUUACUAAGGCACUUUGCUCAACAAAAAGAAGUAUUCAGACUAGGAUUCAGUCCUAACCUCCAGAACAAAUCUUUACACCUUCUGUCCACUCUUUCCCUUAAAGUUUACUCCCCUCUUGUAGCUCUCCCUGGUCUGACACUUCUAACUGACUGAGAAUGCUGGUUUUCCUCAGGAGAAAAAAAAUACCCAAGUACUCAAAUUCUCUUUCGAGUUAGGUCUCUUUAUAAAGGCUUGGCUGAACUCUAAACUUUACCGAAGGGGGAAGCCUUUCCCACAAUCCCUUUCAAGACCAACCCCUUUGAUGUCACAGCUGGCUCAAGUAAACUCAUUUCCUCCUUCCCUAAUGUGUGUCUGAUGCAAUUUUGGCAAGCCAUCUCUCCCUGCUGUUAGUGCUGCCUGUUUUGGAAUGAGGCCAAGCGCAAUGUUUAAUAUACUUUGCAUACGUCUUGUCUGAAGUCCUGGAAGAAACAUCUGUUUACUCCAAAGGCCUGUUCUACCAGCUGGUAAAGGAGAUUUGUCACUCACAGGUAUGACAGUAAGAUGAUGAUGUUCACUCAUCUUGAGAACUUAAGUUGCUACAAAAUGGCUAAAGAUGCUUUUUGAACACUGUAAGAGGUAAGUCCAAAGUCAUCCUUAUUCCAGUUAUCAGUGUGUUGAAAGCAUUUAGUGCUUAUUAAUUAAAACAAAAACAAACAAAAAAAUCCCAAAAAAAAAAAAAAAAACCAAAAAAACCCCAAAUCCCCAAAGCUAUUUCCCACUUCUAAGCCCUCCAUUUCUUUUUUAUGUACAAUAUUUUUACUUGUGGCAAGAACAUUGAGGGCAAAGUGUAGAAUUCAGUGCUUCUGCGACUAUGGAAAUGAUUCAUAGCUCUACUGGAAUGAAAGACAUCUUCCUGAUGUUAUUCAACUAUUAAAUACU